rnacentral:tRNA from 1 species
GCACCCAGCCGAACCGGGCUUCAGUCGCCUUGUAAGCGAGCGGUCGUCAGUUCAAUCCUGACAGGGGGCUCCA